CCUACGGGGGGCAGCAGUGGGGGAUAUUGCACCAUGGGGGAAACCCUGAUGCAGCGACGCCGCGUGGGUGAAGAAGCGCCUCGGCGCGUAAAGCCCUGUCAGCAGGGAAGAAAAUGAAGGUACCUGAAGAAGAAGCCCCGGCUUACUCCGGGCCAGCAGCACCGGUAAUACGGAGGGGGCAAGCGUUAUCCGGAUUUACUGGGUGUAAAGGGGGCGCAGACGGCGGUGCAAGCAAGGAGUGAAAGCCCGGGGCCCAACCCCGGGACUGCUCGUGGAACUUCGUGGCGAGAGUGCAGGAGGGGCAGGCGGAAUUCGUGGUGUAGCGGUGAAAUGCGUAGAUAUCAGGAGGAACACCGGUGGCGAAGGCGGCCUGCUGGACUGCAACUGACGUUGAGGCCCGAAAGCGUGGGGAGCAAACAGGAUUAGAUACCCGUGUAGUC
rnacentral:rRNA from 1 species